rnacentral:tRNA from 1 species
GGGGGUGUAGCUCAGUGGUAGAGCGCGUGCUUCGCAUGCACGAGGUCCCGGGUUCAACUCCCGGCUUCUCCA